GAUGAACGCUGGCGGCGUGCCUAAUACAUGCAAGUCGAGCGGACAGACGAUGAGCUUGCUCCUCUGACGUUAGCGGCGGACGGGAGUGUAACACGUGGAUAACCCCCCUAUAUGACUGGGAUAACCUCGGGACACCGGAGCUAACACCGUAUAAUCUCUUGAACCGCAUGGUUCAAUAGUAAAAGACGGCUUUGCUGUCACUUCUCGCUGGAUCUCCGCCUCAUUAGAUAGUUGGUAAGGUAACGGCUUACCAAGGCGACUAGGCGUAGACGACCUGAUAGAGUGAUAGCCGACAUGGGAGGUGGAACACGGACCAGACUCCUACGGGACGCAGCAGAAGGGAAUCGGACGCAAUGGGCGAAAGCAUGACGGAACAACGCCGCGUGAGUGAUAAAGGUCUUCGGAUCGGAAAACUGUGUUAUGAGGGGAGAACAAAUGUGUAAGUAAAUAAGCACGGCGUGACGGUACCGAAUCAGAAAGCCACGGCUAACUACGUG
rnacentral:rRNA from 1 species